UGGGGAAUAUUGCACAAUGGGCGCAAGCCUGAUGCAGCAACGCCGCGUGCGGGAAGAAGGCCCUAGGGUUGUAAACCGCUUUCAGCAGGGAAGAAAAUGACGGUACCUGCAGAAGAAGGUGCGGCCAACUACGUGCCAGCAGCCGCGGUGACACGUAGGCACCAAGCGUUGUCCGGAUUUAUUGGGCGUAAAGAGCUCGUAGGCGGUUCGGUAAGUCGGGUGUGAAAACUCUGGGCUCAACCCAGAGAGGCCACUCGAUACUGCUGUGACUAGAGUGCGGUAGGGGAGCGGGGAAUUCCUGGUGUAGCGGUGAAAUGCGCAGAUAUCAGGAGGAACACCAGUGGCGAAGGCGCCGCUCUGGGCCGUAACUGACGCUGAGGAGCGAAAGCAUGGGUAGCAAAGCAGGAUUAGAUACCCUGGUAGUCCACACCGUAAACGAUGAAUGCCAGUCGUCGGAUAGCAUGCUAUUCGGUGACACACCUAACGGAUU
rnacentral:rRNA from 1 species